AGAGUUUGAUUCUGGCUCAGAACGAACGCUGGCGGCGUGGAUAAGACAUGCAAGUCGUGCGGGGGUCUGUGGGUAGCAAUAUUCGCAGACUCUAGCGGCGAAAGGGUGCGUAACACGUGGGCAAUCUACCGUGAAGUUUGGAAUAACCCCGAGAAAUCGGGAUUAAUACCGGAUGUGAAUGUUUGAGGACAUCCUCGUUCAUUUAAAGCUGGGGACCAUGCCUAGCGCUUCAUGAUGAGCCCGCGGCCUAUCAGCUUGUUGGUGAGGUAACGGCUCACCAAGGCAACGACGGGUAGCUGGUCUGAGAGGACGAUCAGCCACACUGGAACUGAGACACGGUCCAGACACCUACGGGUGGCAGCAGUCGAGAAUCUUUCACAAUGGGCGCAAGCCUGAUGGAGCGACGCCGCGUGGGGGAUGAAUGGCUUCGGUCCGUACACCCCUGUCAUUUGUGAGCAAAGUUGUCAGCCUAAUAUGUUGACAACCUGAUAGUAGCGAAAGAGGAAGGGACGGCUAACUCUGUGCCAGCAGCCGCGGUAAUACAGAGGUCCCAAGCGUUGUUCGGAUUCACUGGGCGUAAAGAGUGCGUAGGUGGUAAGGUAAGUUUGGUGUGAAAGCUCCGGGCUCAACCUGGAAAGGUCAUCGAAUACUAUCUUACUAGAGGAUCGGAGGGGAGACUGGAAUUCUCGGUGUAGCAGUGAAAUGCGUAGAUAUCGAGAGGAACACCAGUGGCGAAGGCGAGUCUCUGGACGAUUCCUGACACUGAGGCACGAAAGCUAGGGGAGCAAACAGGAUUAGAUACCCUGGUAGUCCUAGCCGUAAACGGUGCACGUUUGCUGUGGGCGGAAUCGACCCCGUCCGUGGCGUAGCUAACGCGUUAAACGUGCCGCCUGGGGAGUACGGUCGCAAGAUUAAAACUCAAAGAAAUUGACGGGGGCCUGCACAAGCGGUGGAGUAUGUGGCUUAAUUCGAUUCAACGCGAAGGACCUUACCUGGCCUUGACAUGCAAGUAGUAGAAACCUGAAAGGGUAACGACCCCGCAAGGGGAGCUUGCACAGGUGCUGCAUGGCUGUCGUCAGCUCGUGUCGUGAGAUGUUGGGUUAAGUCCCGCAACGAGCGCAACCCUCGUGUCCUGUUGCCACUUCUGCGAGAGCAGAAAGCACUCUGGACAGACUGCCUCGCUUAAACGGGGAGGAAGGUGGGGAUGACGUCAAGUCAGUAUGGCCCUUACGGCCAGGGCUGCACACGUACUACAAUGCCUGGUACAAUGGGAAGCAAGACCGCAAGGUGGAGCAAAUCCUUAAAACCGGGCUCAGUUCGGAUUGUCGUCUGCAACUCGACGGCAUGAAGUCGGAAUCGCUAGUAAUGGCGCAUCAGCUACGGCGCCGUGAAUACGUUCCCUGGCCUUGUACACACCGCCCGUCACAUCAUGAAAGCCGGCUGUACCCGAAGUCGCUGUGCUAACUGCAAAGAGGCAGGUGCCGAAGGUAUGGCUGGUGAUUGGGAUGAAGUCGG
rnacentral:rRNA from 1 species